rnacentral:lncRNA from 1 species
GAGCCCACAGACAACAGGGCUUGUCUAACACUCCGCUGCAGGGCGCUCGAAGGGAAGAGAACCAGAAAGGGCGAGUUAAAGAGACAGCGAAUAAAAACUGCUCGCGCGGCGCGGUGGCCGCCGCUGGCGCCCAGAACCUCGGACCCGGGAACUGGGGGUCGUGGGAGGGCCGAGGGGUCUGGAGGUGGCUCUGAGGAAGAGAGCUGUGCUGUGCGUUCCCAACGAAAACAGCCCUCGCUUAACACACACUCCCAUCUGCCAGACACUUGAUGUUGAGGUUCCCCUUCUCGGUAGCUCUGGAGAAAAACUAAUACCCCCACACACUGUUUUGGGUUGCUAGUAAGCCAGCAGCGGCCACUGAGAUAUUUUCCCCUUGUAAAUGGUGUAACUCUUUAGGGUAACUUUUCUGUCAAAAUGUUUCUUCUAUUUCCCCAGCCAGUGAAGAGUAAACACGCAGCAAUUAUCAUUAAACUGCAUUACUUGAGAGAGCGUGUUUAAUAUCAAAUUUCUAACUGUGCAUUUGGCUGUGCGUUCAAUGGUCUCCUUCCAGCCCAUCAUUGAGUUCCCUAACUGCCUUUCUAACCGCAGCUUUAAAGGGCCUCUGGAACGUUCCAGUCUUGCAUAUAAAGAUUCGUUUCAAUUUUCAAAUUGCCUCUAAAUGCCUCCGUUGGAAAAUGGCGCUUUAAGUUGUUUUACGUGUCGGAGACAGAAUACUUAGGCUUACACUCGGGGCACCAAACGCAAAACGCUCAGUCCUCCCAGAAAUCCACUGAAGUCUAUUCCCAUUUUCCAUAUGAGAAAACGGAGGCUCUAAGAUGUUAAGACGUUCAUCCAAGGUCACACACACAGCUAGUAAAUGAGGAAGUCUGGAUUCCAACCCAGGUCUUUCUGACUCUAACAGGUUUUCUUUCUCCCCCCUUCCCUACGUCUGAUUUCAUAUCAAAAUGCCCACCUUUCCCCAAAGAGGAAGCCACUGGGUGAGGUCCUUUAUGGAGUCUGAGGCUUAUCUCUCUUCAAGAAAGUCUUUCUCAUUCUCAAGAUUAUGGGAUUAUUGUUUUUAGUCCUUUAAAUAACUUUUAUAAUUUUUUAAAAUGUGUACGUCUUUAAUACAUCUGGACUUUUUUUCUGUGAAUGUAACAUGAAGUGAAGACUCACUUGUUUUUCUUAAUGGGUAACUAAUUAUUCCAAUAUCAUCUGCAGAACAAUAUAGCCCUUCUCCAUUAACAGGAAAUACAGCCUUUAUCGCAUACUAGAUUCUUAUAUUUUCUUCUAUUUAUUCUAUUCUGCAUUCUAUUUUGUUCAUUAACAUAUUUGAUAUUCCUACAAAAUUAGCAUACUGCUUAAUGACCCUGACUUUGUAAUAUCUUUUAAAAUCCAAUAGGGCAAAGCUGCUCUCAUCUUUCUUCACCUAGGAAAACUGUUCUCAUGCAUCUGUUCUCCUAGAUAAUAUUUAGAAUCAACUUGCCAGUUAUUUUAAUCAGAACCAUUAUUGGAAUUGUAUCAAAUGUAUGAAUUAAUUUGGGAAAGAGUUGAAAUCUUCACAAUAUUUGGUCAUUCCAACCAGAAACACA